rnacentral:tRNA from 1 species
GGGGUUGUGGCUCAGCGGUAGAGAGCUCGCCUUGCAUGUGACAGGCCCUGGAUUCCAUCCUCAGCACCACA